rnacentral:lncRNA from 1 species
GGCGAGGUCAGCUGCAGGGAGGAAAGACAGCGAAGGUGAACGCGUGUUCAGACUCUCAUGAGCAAAUCUUGCAGGUGCAAGGAAUCCAGACAGCUAAAAUGGCUAGCGUGUACAAGAAGCAGGAAGCAGGGAGCAAACUGAGACACAAAAUGGUAACCUCACGUUGGUUCUCUUUUCACCAACAGCAACUUGACUCCACUGAAGUCGUUUGAGGGUCUGUGGAACCAUCUGAGGAGAGGUCAGAAGGAACAGGUCCAAUAGAAGCAUCUGUGUCUGUGAGAGAAGAUUGGAACAUCUGGAUCCAGAGAUCACUUCUCUGGAGCUGUCCUGGGUGUAGUACAAAUCAAACUACUAAUCAGUUCCUGUCACAGGAUUACCAGCUGCUGUCCACUGAGGGGCCGGAUGCGAACAUUUACCAAGAGGAGCCUGAUGGUGAAAGUCAGUGGUACCCCGACACUGAUGACACCCCAAGACAGUAGGAAGUAGCCUGAGACACAGUGCCCCUCUCUCCCUUUCACCAUCAGCUUCCCCCUCCCUUCCCCCCCCUUCUUUUUAUGCUAAGAAAAAGGGAAGUAUGUUGGUAUCAGGAAUUGCCUUUACCUCCAACAGCGACACCGGUUGGUCACUGUUGCCACGGCAACGGCCGUACAUUCCCAGUAUUCCUUUAGUUUAAUUCCCACCUCCAUCUGGGAGUAGUUACCUCACAUUCCAAAUAAAAGGCAGCCCUCUUCUGCCCUCCUUCUCUUCCUCUUCUUUCUCUCGAUCCUUCCCCUUGUCUCGUUCUCCCAUUAAAUCUCUCCACGUGGAACUGUGUUGGUUUGGUGUGCUCUAUCUGGACGGGC